UGUCACCCUGUAGAUUCAACCAAGAUUUAGCUGUCAAAGUCAUCAUGGUAAAAGAAGACUAAGCAAAAACGAGGGUUUUAAACUUGUGUCUGUGCUUAACAUAACCUGGGGUUUUCUUUCUAUCAGCAAAUACAGAGGCUUUAGGUGAAGAUUAAGCAUGGACUGGAUUUGGAUACAUUUCUCUUACUUGUAGCUUAAACUAGGAGGAAAACUCAUCUGGCUCGCUCUGGAAAAAGUACCCGUGAGCACAAAAUAGAAUGAAUGUGGAAGAAAAAUAUCCAUAAAGGCAGCAAAAAAGACUGGACAAUCUCCAACAGAGCAAAUUGAUGUCUAGCUAAGAAGCCUGAUGACAUUGUCUUAAAGGAUGGACGUGCAGAUGGUGAAAAGGACACUGAAACAUGAAGGAGGAAAAGAAUCAUGGAGAAAGGAUUAAAAUGAAGGAAUGAAAAUAGAAGGAGUGGGGAAGUUCAGGUGUUCACACAUCUGCUCUAACAUAGUGAGUGAAGAAGGAUGGCACUUCAUGAGGAUCUGCAGAAGGGCGGAUAUAAAUAAACCAAAGCUCAAGCUGAA